rnacentral:rRNA from 1 species
GUGGGGAAUAUUGGACAAUGGGCGAAAGCCUGAUCCAGCCAUGCCGCGUGUGUGAAGAAGGUCUUCGGAUUGUAAAGCACUUUAAGUUGGGAGGAAGGGCAGUAAGUUAAUACCUUGCUGUUUUGACGUUACCAACAGAAUAAGCACCGGCUAACUUCGUGCCAGCAGCCGCGGUAAUACGAAGGGUGCAAGCGUUAAUCGGAAUUACUGGGCGUAAAGCGCGCGUAGGUGGUUCAGCAAGUUGAAGGUGAAAUCCCCGGGCUCAACCUGGGAACUGCCUCCAAAACUACUGAGCUAGAGUACGGUAGAGGGUAGUGGAAUUUCCUGUGUAGUGGUGAAAUGCGUAGAUAUAGGAAGGAACACCAGUGGCGAAGGCGACUACCUGGACUGAUACUGACACUGAGGUGCGAAAGCGUGGGGAGCAAACAGGAUUAGAUACCCUAGUAGUCC